GACGGUGGGUUUGCGCACCACUGAGAGAAGAGGGUAAAACACGGGCAGCUCUGGUGCGGGAGUCCUUAAGGGCACACAGCCCCCGAGCAGUCAGGAGGGCUUCCCGGAGGAGGAGGCCUCAGCUGAAAACAGAAGGGUGCGUGGGAGCUGCAGAGGAGGGGGAUGCUGUCCCAGCGGCAGGACAGCCGUGCAAAGGCCCGAGACAGGAACUGCAGGGGCAGAGCGUCUGAGGGCGCAGGAGCCGUGUACCAGUGCGCAGGCCCCGUGAGGCAGGGCCGGGCUCAGGGGUUGGAGGACCUUGUUCUGAGGGCCCCAGGGGCCCUGGAGGCUGGAAGCCUGGCCAAGUCAGGUUUGUGGCCUACAGGGACUCGGUGGUCACCAGUGGCAUCUGAUGGCGGACCCAGGGCUUCUCUCCUGAACGGCCCCGUGAGGUGGCUGGUGUCCGGGCAGCUGCCGACCCCUGAGCCUCCCUUGGGAGGUGCUCCCAGGGUCCCCGGCUGCGCGGCCUUCAGCAACUGCAGGACACCGGCCUCAGUUUCCUCCAGACAAGGAGGAAGGAGGCAGGGAGGCCAGGCUGAGCGAGCCGUGCCGCGGUGGGCUCUCCCUCUGCACCCCGACGCCCCAAGCAGGACUCUGAGGAGGGAUCUGGGAGGAAGGGGCUCUGGGGGUCAGGGCAACAGCCAGGAGCCCAGGGGCUGUCAUCACGGCCACCCUGGCCCGAGAGGCUAUUGACCUGAGGAGGGCGGAGGAGGCCGAAGAGGGGAGGCUCUGGGCACCGUCUGUCGUGGGUGGUGGCCUGACGGCUGAGCCUCUCCCCUGGGCUGCUAGGGGUGGCUGGCUGCAGCCUGCCCCCGGCCGGCACUCCUGUCCCUCCCCAGACCCCGGAGGGCGUCACUGAGAGGAACUGGGACAGCUCAUCUGGAGGAGGGGCGCGCGCAGUGCGUCUGACCGCCAGGCUGCCCCUGGACACCACGGCCCCGCGGCCAGGACGCCUCAGCUACGCUCGGCAGCCCAGGCCUGGGCGACUGGACAGCAGUUCUGCUCCUUGACCCGCUCCUGCCACAGUGACCCGCCUCACCACAGACCCACAAGCAGUGAGGCCACCAGCCAUCCGACCUCCAAAACUGUGAAAAAAAAAUGGCCCUUUGUUUCUUUUUAACCAUUAGAUCAUGGCUGUUCGUUUUCGUUAUUAUUAUGGGUUGUUUGGACAUAACAUUAGGAAUCAUUUUGAUAUAAUUAUAAAAGCACAGAAUAUAAUUUGCUCCACUUCAGAUCCCAGUCCUUCCCCUUUCUCUCCCCUUCUCCCUCCCUCCCUUUUUUCUUUAUAAAGUUGCCUGUGUCAGGUGUUUGUCACACUGCAGAAAGCUGACCAGCGCAGCAUUCUCUACAGGUUCUAGAUCUAGUUCCUUAUCAGAUGUACGGUUUGUAGGCAUUUCCUCCACCCUGUAGGUCGUCUGGACUUUCUCAAUGGUCUCCUUUGGAGCAUAAAUGGUUUUGUUUUUGAUGAA